UACGUAGGGUGCGAGCGUUAAUCGGAAUUACUGGGCGUAAAGCGUGCGCAGGCGGUUCGUUAAGUUCGUUGUGAAAGCCCCGGGCUCAACCUGGGAACUGCAAUGGAAACUGGCGGGCUUGAGUGUGGCAGAGGGGGGUGGAAUUCCGAGUGUAGAGGUGAAAUUCGUAGAUAUUCGGAAGAACACCAGUGGCGAAGGCGGCUCACUGGACCGGCAUUGACGCUGAGGUGCGAAAGCGUGGGGAGCAAACAGG
rnacentral:rRNA from 1 species